rnacentral:tRNA from 1 species
GCCUCCUUAGCUCAGCUGGUAGAGCAGCUGUCUUGUAAACAGCAGGUCGUCGGUUCGAACCCGGCAGGGGGCUCCG